GACAGAGGCCUCGAGCGUUAGGCGGAAUCACUGGGCUUAAAGCGUGUGUAGGCGGAUCGUUAAGUACCUUGUGAAAUCCCACGGCUCAACCGUGGAACGGCUGGGUAUACUGGCGGUCUUGGGCCAUUCAGGGGCGACUGGAACAAGCGGUGGAGCGGUGAAAUGCGUAGAUAUCGCUUGGAACGCCGAAGGUGAAAACAGGUCGCUGGGGAUGUGCCGACGCUGAGACACGAAAGCCAGGGGAGCGAACGGG
rnacentral:rRNA from 1 species